rnacentral:rRNA from 1 species
AUGAUGUGUGGGGUGAGGUCCGGCAGCACUCCCGCGUUGACGACGACGGGGCGGCCCCCUCUGUCGGAGCUAUGGUUGGCCUACGCAGCCAACACGGACGCGGCCUCGAUCUGGGGUACCUCCACAGCGGCCUCGAGUGUCGCAGUGUCCCGACGAAGCAGCUCUGACCGGGUGGAUUUGGAACUGCAGUCCACAUCGCACAGAGGCAUGCCCCACUUCCUCCUCUCCAUGCAGUCCACUGUCAAAGCCAAGGGACUUGUUGUCCCGGGGGCAUUAGGGGCAGCUGGCUUCAAAGAUUGGAGGGGGUUCGGUUAUCUCGGCGGUCAGCGACGAGGGAUCCGAGGCAGCCACCGCGCCACCAGCCCCGUGCAGCUCGGUUGUCAGGCCCGUGCAGCUCGGUUGCCACGGCCGGCCUCCAAAGCCUCCUCCCCAACCCCGACACUGGACGGCGCUGCCCCGCCAUCGCUUCACCGUGAUGUAGCUCCAUCGCGCGUUGUCAAGGCGAGGCUACUUCGCCACCCCUGGACUCGGAGGAUCUGGCCUGAUGCGGUUUCGUCAAGCGCCGCCAUGGAGGAUACAAGUCUCGGGUCCUUCUUCUUCCCGGGUCGCCACUGCUCCGACACCAUGGAAGGUCGUGAUGCGCGCCAUCCCUUCACCGUGAUGCACGCGAGAUACAUGCCCCAAGGGUCGUCUCUCCUUCCACCGACGACGGUUGCGGCAGUGCACUCGUCCCUCUCUCUUCCAGUGGAGUUUGGAGUUUGCUAUGUGUCAUUCUUCUGGUUGAAUUUUGCACUCGAUGCGGUCCGCUCUGACCGUUCCCGCAAUUUAGAUGGGAGCUUGAUGAGGUUCACAUUCAAAAUGCACUACUCGAUAGCGGUUCAGCAACUCAUCCCAUGCAGCUCGGUUUGCACAAGCGUGUGGUUUGUUUGA